UGAAGAAUUCCUCCUUUAUCUUUGCCAAUAAAUUGAGACACGGUGUCAUCGAGAAGAUAGGUAUCUCUCACUAAUUCAACCAAGCGCAGGCCACUAGAUUUAGAUUCCUUAUUUGAGUUGUGUUUCCUCUUUUACCCGUCAGUAAGAGCGCCAAGCAGAUGGCAAUUGCUCAUUCAUAUUUAUUACGUGGCGAGAUGCUAUUGAUUGAUUAUGAAUGGCUUGGAUUUUGUCAGAAGAACUUUUCACUUCGCUUUUUGCAGGUGGGGCCAUGCAGGAAUAUGGUGCUGACAUGGCAGGGAGCAAGUAUCAACUCCUUGCAAGCUGUACAAGGGAGCCAGGUGGGCCUAUUGCCACGUGCUUACGUGGUAAGUGGGCUUUUUGAUUGGUUGCCGGGAGAGCAUUACAGAAUCGGCGAAAAAGGCAAGCACGCUGUUUUUGCCGAGGACAAACACAUUUUGUUUUCUUUUUUUAUUUUUUUUAUUCAUUUGCCGAGUCAUUGUUUUCUAAUAUGUUGAAAAUGAAAACAAAAAAACAAAUUGUCCUCGUUACCGUUAACAUUUAAUUUGCACGAAACUUAAAACGAGUAAAGAUUUAUGCCAAAGUUGUUAAUUUAAUAUGCCAAUUAUUUUUUUUCCUUUACUCGCUUGAUUGAAUAGUUGAUUAUC
rnacentral:lncRNA from 1 species